AGGAAAAGGGAAGUGACCUCCCCUCAUUGGACGGGACUGGAUCCCAUUAGCACAACAACACGUUGUGUUCGCACCCGGGUUGUUAGCAUCUGUCAGUGGGUCAUCAUGUGUUGGUUCAACAACCUGAUCAAACCUCAAAUCAGUGUCCUGCAGCCCUUUGGUCUUUAGACUCGUCACAGCCGUCAGAUAAAGCACAGACAGAAAAACCAAAAGGAGGAGGAGGUCACCUGACAGCUGCUGCCUUGGACUUUGCCUAAAUCCGGCGUGAACACUUGUGAUAUUGGUUCUCUCAAUUAGAUUUUCCACUCAAGAGCGGAGUCAGCUGAGACUUCAUGCCUCCUUGUACGUCUCCUCAAACCAAAGACCUUCCUUCUUCACUCUGGUGACGAUGGUCAUGUGCCGGGCAGAUAAUUUGGCCGGUUUUAGGAUCCAGAGCAAAUCAGGAACAGGAGGAAUCUCACUGGUGCACGAGACCAGGAUGGUUUUUAUCUUUGUAAAAACGUCUCAGGAAUCCCACUAUCUUCACGACCACACAACAAGCAGUGAUGAUUAUUGACACUUGGAUUGUGCAAACAUGGAUUUGGACUGAGGUGAAAAAGCUUCCUCAGGUUUUCUGUCACCUGAUAAUCCCACUUCGUCAUCAGGGGGAUAAUCUGAAGCGUAACCCUCUUGUCUGGGGUUAAGAGCAGAUACUGGAUUAUUGUCUAGACCCUGUUAUUGAUGGGAAAUUACCUUAAAAAGUCAGAAAUGUGACUUUAUUUAACCGCUUAACAUCUUUAAUGUCUGUUAAUUUAAAGCACAAAUUAGAAUCUAAUCAGUUAAUCCAUGAGUCUAAGUGAACAUUUCUACAAAACUUGAAAUGAUUCUCACAAGGCAUUCUCAGGAGGACGUGUUCAUAAAGGCCAACGUGACCUUGACCUUUCGCUGCUAAAUUCUAAGGUCACUUUAAUCUGAAGAAAUUCCUUCAAGGUUUUCUUGAGAUGUUCUUGAGAUGCGUCUUCUCAAGAAAGAGACAGAGGAUGGACGACCAGACACCACGAUGCCUCCGGCCACCGGGUGUCGCCAGCGCGGAGGAAUACAAAAAGUCAACACAACCAGAGAUGCUCGUAUUUUUCAGAAAUAUAUUUUAUAGAUGAUGUCAGAGAUGAAAUGUCCAAAGCGUAGGUCCCAAAGAAAGAUAACAUUUUUCAUCGAUAGAGACUAACAACAAACAAAAAAUAACUUUUCAAUCCAUUUACAUGUAAACCAAGAAUUGCUCUUGAGCCACAGUGGUUAUAUAUAUAUAUAUAUAUAUACAUAUACAUACAUACAUAUAUAUAUAUAUAUAUAUAUAUUGAACUGGCUGAGGUGGGUGUGACAAUCAAUCGACGAUGCCCUUUUUUGUUUCUCCAAACCUUUUCUCAACUUUUCAGAUAUCCGUCAUUUGUGCCCGUUUAAAAAAAUCUUUGAAAGAGGAACAUUCUUUGGGAGAGUCUUGUUUUUUUUAAAGUUGUGAACGUGGCAGAGGUUUGUCAGAGAUCGUGUCUCCUCAACAAAGUCCAUACAUGUUGUUUAGUGCUUGUCAAAAUCCCUUAUAUUCAAUAAGAACAAUAUCAAAUGUUUCCCAGUGGAGUCAUUUGGACAAAAGUCUUUUGAACAGCUCGAACACCAGAGAGGAAGAAAGCUGUCCCGCCUGGUGCCCUCUGGGGGCGGGGAGUCGUUUUUUAAGUCCUCCAGUGUUCUUCUUCUAUUGUGCAAAUACAUUUUUUUAUUACAUAGACAAGCAGGCAUGCUGACUCACAAUCCAUGCAAAGAGUUAAAGUUGGCGCUAGCAGACGGCAACGAAAGAAAAUAGUAGUAAAAAAGUUUCUACAAAAAACCUCAGAUUCGUCUUUAAAUAAAACCAACAACAAAAAAAAGAAAAUGUUGACGAGUAACAAGUGGAAUGUUUUGUUAGACAUGAGAAAAAAAAAACGACUUGAUGUCAAAUUGUACAAGUUUAUAGGAUGAUAUCAACUGAAACAAACAUGGUGGUCGUCUUUAAUCGGGUGUUGAACAAAGCAGGUGACGGAUGGGAGUUGGUUUGAAUGUCCUAGCGUCGGAUCUGUUCGGGCGGGGGAAGAGAAGAGGACGACACCGGAGCCCGACCGAUUUAUCAACUCGCCGAUGAUAUCCAUAACUUUUUUUUAUAGAAUGAGCGAGGCUGAAAAGAUGUGCAUUUAUGUUUACAUUAUACGUACUUAACUUUACCUUCUAAAUUCAUCUUCUAUAUAUCUGGUUUGAUUGAUAUUCAUUUGUUGUUAUUCAUAAUAAACUUACACUGUUAUAUCUCGUAA